rnacentral:misc_RNA from 1 species
GCCAGUCCAUCUAUCACCAAUAACUCGUUUCUUCUCCUCAUCUUUAUCAAAUAGAAGCUCCCUUGGAGGAGGGCAAAAGAAACUGGCAUCAGCACGCAUGGGCCAACCUAAUCGAAAACAAUCAACCGACCAAAAGUACUCAUUUAAAUCAUCAUAGUUUCUCCAUUGAGAAUGUUUUGACCUUCCUCCUUUACUCUUUUUGGCUUCCUCUGCUAUUGUAUCAUAUAUUGGUUUUACCACUUUCCUCAAAAAAGCCUCAUCUUCACCUCCAUAGGCUGGUUUUAUGUGCUCACCCGUCA